rnacentral:rRNA from 1 species
UGCCGCGUGUGUGAAAAGGCCUUCGGGUUGUAAAGCACUUUUGUCCGGAAAGAAAACCUCUUGGUUAAUACCUGAGGGGGAUGACGGUACCGGAAGAAUAAGCACCGGCUAACUACGUGCCAGCAGCCGCGGUAAUACGUAGGGUGCGAGCGUUAAUCGGAAUUACUGGGCGUAAAGCGUGCGCAGGCGGUCUGUUAAGACCGAUGUGAAAUCCCCGGGCUUAACCUGGGAACUGCAUUGGUGACUGGCAGGCUUUGAGUGUGGCAGAGGGAGGUAGAAUUCCACGUGUAGCAGUGAAAUGCGUAGAGAUGUGGAGGAAUACCGAUGGCGAAGGCAGCCUCCUGGGCCAACACUGACGCUCAUGCACGAAAGCGUGGGGAGCAAAC